UGGAUCCGUGAAUGAUUCUCUGUUAACUGGGCAAAAAGCCCAACGUUUUUUCUUCUAAGAGAAGGUGUGUAAUCACGUGUGUUUGCUAUUGACGGGCGCUUUAACGUUCUACAGAUAAUUACUACAGCUGAGGCUUCUCUGUCUGACGUUCUACAGAUAAUUACUACAGCUGAGGCUUCUCUGUCUGACGUUCUACAGAUAAUUACUACAGCUGAGGCUUCUCUGUCUGACGUUCUACAGAUAAUUACUACAGCUGAGGCUUCUCUGUCUGACGUUCUACAGAUAAUUACUACAGCUGAGGCUUCUCUGUCUGACGUUCUACAGAUAAUUACUACAGCUGAGGCUUCUCUGUCUGACGUUCUACAGAUAAUUACUACAGCUGAGGCUUCUCUGUCUGACGUUCUACAGAUAAUUACUACAGCUGAGGCUUCUCUGUCUGACGUUCUACAGAUAAUUACUACAGCUGAGGCUUCUCUGUCUGACGUUCUACAGAUAAUUACUACAGCUGAGGCUUCUCUGUCUGACGUUCUACAGAUAAUUACUACAGCUGAGGCUUCUCUGUCUGACGUUCUACAGAUAAUUACUACAGCUGAGGCUUCUCUGUCUGACGUUCUACAGAUAAUUACUACAGCUGAGGCUUCUCUGUCUGACGUUCUACAGAUAAUUACUACAGCUGAGGCUUCUCUGUCUGACGUUCUACGGAUAAUUACUACAGCUGAGGCUUCUCUGUCUGACGUUCUACGGAUAAUUACUACAGCUGAGGCUUCUCUGUCUGACGUUCUACGGAUAAUUACUACAGCUGAGGCUUCUCUGUCUGACGUUCUACAGAUAAUUACUACAGCUGAGGCUUCUCUGUCUGACGUUCUACAGAUAAUUACUACAGCUGAGGCUUCUCUUUCUUUGCCACCUCAGUUCAAUAACGUACGAUAGGUUUUUAGGAUAGCUUCCAGGUCUAUGACGUUAUCCAACGCCGUGCUGCUAGCGAGAGACCGAGACGAGAAGCUGUCGGUGUUCCUACAAAACAUCCUGUCUCGCGUCCAACUAUCUCCAAUAUCUCCAAUAUUCAGCGGAAGUUUCCCCAGCUGUUCUACUGAGUGAGAUCUCUGUCAGAGAUUUAAGGCCAGAAACGCAUAUUCAUAUUCCGUCUCCUGUUGACUAUGAGAUAUUGAAGCCCUGAGAUAUAAAUGAUGAGAAACCCAUCAAAGACGAAUUUGUUAGCGCAGAUGUUCUGCCAGACUGAAUAUGCCAACUUUUCAGAGGAGAUAGUAGACAGAGAAGCUGAGAAAAUUGUACUGACAUGACGUGCAAUGUGCAUUAUGUCUUGUCACUUCAUAUAGUAUAUACAGUAUGUUAAUCAUUAUUACUUCAGCAUAAUUAUUACCAGGUUGAGGCUAAAUCGUAAACACAGAGGACUUUGAACUUUAAAAGUCCUUACAAUCACUGUUCAGACAAUUGAACUACUGAACACAUGAGUCAGUCUUUCUAGAAAUGUCACUCCCCUCACUAGAAUCCUAAACCGUAAAAGCUAGGCAAUUGAGGGAACAAGGAAACAGAAGUAGGAUUAUGUUUGUCAUCACAUAGGCUAUAAAUACCUUGAACAACUUUCAAGUUAUUCAAUUUGAAAUGUUUUGUUUCAACUUUCAAUUUUGACAAUGAAACUGUCAACAGAGGAGCCAAUUGAGUCUUACCCUUGGUGUCUUCGUGUGGAUGUGGGAGAUGUAGAAAUGUUGACAGAGGAGACAUCCAGUGGUAUGGCAAUUUCUAAACAAGUAUGGUGCUACUCUUAGUUUGUCUCAGCCCAUUUUUUAACUAUAUUGCUCCACCUCUAUUCCCUACAAUGACCCAACAGAGUCUGGAAACACCUCUGUGUGUGUGUGUGUGUGUGUGUGUGUGUGUGUGUGUGUGUGUGUGUGUGUGUGUGUGUGUGUGUGUGUGUGUGUGUGUGUGUGUGUGUGUGUGUGUGUGUGUGUGUGUGUGUGUGUGUGUGUGUGUGUGAGAGAGAGAGAGAGAGAGUAAGCUAAAGGCUCACCCUUCAGUGUUAGAUAAGAAAUCAGUACGAAAGGGCUGUGUUCUCCUGGUGUGCGUGUGUAUACACCAUCAUUGAGAAGAGUGAUAUUUUGACCUCAGUACUGACAUGUGUCAAGUCUCCAGAUGUUGUGUCAAGUCUCCAGAUGUUAUGACAUCUGUGUAGCAGGGACACACCACCACGCGAAGGUAUUUUUAGAGGUAUAAUUGCCGAUAAAUGAUAUGACAAUUAGCACUUUACAUUUGAAGGUCUUUCGUAUAUAUGAAUGUUUUCUUUAUGUGGUAGAAAAUGGCUCUUUAUUGCCCAUUAUUGACAGGAGAGCUAAUUGCCUGUGGGCCGUUCUCCCCUCUCUUCACAGGAUGGCUGUCAAAUCUGAGAUGAAAAGAGAGAAAAGAAUCGUAUUAACUGGAACCUCUGGGAUUUGUUUUAGUUCGGCUGUUAAAGACCAACACGCUCUGUUUAUCGAGGUGUUGUGACGAGCUCAUUGCUUUCUGCCCGUGGCAACGAUUAUUUGAGAAGAUGAGAAUAGGCUUCGAAACACUCCUCCUUCUCCCUGGUGACGUUCUGUUGAUGUUUUGUUUUAAUUCUGGGUGCUGUGUGAGCAUGUCAGGACUUGUUUAGGACUUGCCACCAGGGCUCACCCUCUGCUCUACUCUAACCUUGAUCAUGUUAAUCACUUGUAUAAGUGUCACAUGCAUGCACACACACGCAUGCACACACACACACAUCCCCUGGGAUAACAGGCUUUCCAAGAAAAACCUCAGGAUCGGGCAGUGACCAGGUGCUAGUCACCCAAACUGCAAGGUGACCAUCGUGAGCAGGUCAAACAACGAUGAAACCAGGAUGUGGUGGCCCACUGGAAAGCAGAGUGUGGCCUGGCCAUGGACUAGACUCUCCUGCUGACCCUGCAUUCUGCUCACACCCUGGAUACGCUGGGCAGCAGGACCGCCAGGAAACAGCUAACACACACCUAAUUAGCAGAACAAACCGUGUAAUUGUCUCCCAAAUUGUUAUGUGACAGUUUAAAAUAUACUGGUGUAUAUAGACUGGUGCCCCGUGUAUAUAGACAAGACUCAUGAUGUAUUAUUACAUUUUGUACUUUUCUAUUAUUUCUCUAUUAUCUUUCUCUCUGUAUUGUUGGGAAGGGCCCGUAACUAAGCAUUUAACUGUCAGUCCACACCUGUUGUUUACGAAGCAUGUGACGGAUCAAUUUGUUAUUUCAUUGAUUUGAUACUAAAUGUAAUAUUGCCUGUUUGAUUUGAUUUGAUUGAUUUGAAACAGACCCCCUCGGUAUGUAAAUGUGUGUCUAAAACCGUCAGAAAAUGUCAAUGAAUUGUGAAUAUGAAUUACAGCCUUCUGCUUCCUGCUUGGAAAGGUCAGUCUGA